CCAAAAGCGUAUAUUAAAGUUGUUGCAGUUAAAAAGCUCGUAGUUGAAGUUCUGGCUGUAUUGGGCCUCUGCACUUGAUGCGGAGGAACCAGCAGUCAUCCGCUUGCAAAUACAUGUCCUCCUUAACCGGUAGGCUGUAUAAGUAAGCACUUUACCUUGAGAAAAACAGAGUGUUCCAGGCAGGUUUUGUCCGGAAUGCGUUAGCAUGGAAUAAUAGAAUAUGACUGAAGUCGAUUUUAUUGGUUUAAGGCUUUAGUAAUGAUUAAUAGGAACAAUCGGGGGCAUUGGUACUUGUCAGUCAGAGGUGAAAUUCUAGGAUUUGACAAAGACUAACUGAUGCGAAAGCGUUUGCCAAGAAUGUUUUCAUUAAUCAAGAACGAAAGUUAGGGGAUCAAAGACGAUCAGAUACCGUCCUAGUCUUAACUAUAAACUAUACCGACUCGGAUUCAGAUGAAUUUUAAAGUUCAUUUGGGACCGUAGGAGAAAUCAAAGUCUUUGGGUUCUGGGGGGG
rnacentral:rRNA from 1 species